rnacentral:piRNA from 1 species
UGUGACAUGGAUCACUAACACUGCAUGUGAUG